rnacentral:rRNA from 1 species
AACGAACGCUGGCGGCAGGCCUAACACAUGCAAGUCGAACGGAUCCUUCGGGAUUAGUGGCAGACGGGUGAGUAACGCGUGGGAAGCUACCUUGUGGUAGGGGACAACAGUUGGAAACGACUGCUAAUACCCUAUGAGCCCUAUGGGGGAAAGAUUUAUCGCCAUGAGAUGUGCCCGCGUUAGAUUAGCUAGUUGGUAAGGUAAUGGCUUACCAAGGCGACGAUCUAUAGCUGGUCUGAGAGGAUGAUCAGCCACACUGGGACUGAGACACGGCCCAG